AGUGACGAUAGCCUAGGAGAUACACCUGUUCCCAUGCCGAACACAGAAGUUAAGCCCUAGCACGCCUGAUGUAGUUGGGGGGUUGCCCCCUGUUAGAUAUGGUAGUCGCUUAGCAAAAGGGAGUUUAGCUCAGCUGGGAGAGCA
rnacentral:rRNA from 2 species